AGUUGAAAGACCCUUGUUGUCAAAUGGCGAACCCCUCCAAAAAUUAUAAUUGUACUAGUGCUUCACCAACUGAAGUGACAACGUUCCCGGUUAUACUAUGGGCUCUGCACGGAUUUCUGGAGUACUUCAAGAAUGUUUACAACAAUCCUCCUAUCUGCUCUGAAAAUGGUUCCGGACUUGGCUAAUGUCAUCAAUCUUAAAUGAAGAACAACUAUUACUACCACUUCUGAUUUUUCUGCUGAUUGUCAACUAUUGCUUCCCUAUUAUGCUUCAUUUUGUCUAUGGUGGACCUGGUGGUUCUCUUAAGGAUAUGUAACCAAGUUUUCGGUAACUUAUUUUCAUUAAUUCUUGCAUUGUCAAAAUCGUGCAUAUAUUGUUAACAGAUGUACGUUGACUGCACCAAUACUCUGAACUCGAGGCACUCCGCCUAAAGUUGCAGGUACAGCUUGAUAAAUGCUUUUGAUUUUUGAUGCUUCAACUUCCGUUUUCUAUCUGAAGACAAUAAAGAAGUAUUUUUUAAUUGAGUUUCUAAUAUUUAUAAACCAAGGGAUGUUUUAGUAGCCUGGGGCAGUUUUUGUAUAGAAGAUUUUUGUGGGAAUUCAGGAGGUAAUCUGAAGCCAACACCCCCUCAGAGGAGUUCUGCAGAAAUAUGGCAUGAUGAUCGGAUUCUUUUGUCAUUGUUGAACUAUUUCUCUGAGCUUUAAUCUUUCAGAAUAUAGCUGAUGCUUUUUAGAGCAUCGUCCUUAUUUGAUGUCUUUUGAAUGGUGUUAUAUAUCUAUAAAAUGAUUGUAUUUAUAUGUUCAAUACUACUUAAA